rnacentral:rRNA from 1 species
GAUGAACGCUGGCGGCGUGCCUAAUACAUGCAAGUCGAGCGGACGGACGAGAAGCUUGCUUCUCUGAUGUUAGCGGCGGACGGGUGAGUAACACGUGGAUAACCUACCUAUAAGACUGGGAUAACUUCGGGAAACCGGAGCUAAUACCGGAUAAUAUUUUGAACCGCAUGGUUCAAAAGUGAAAGACGGUCUUGCUGUCACUUAUAGAUGGAUCCGCGCUGCAUUAGCUAGUUGGUAAGGUAACGGCUUACCAAGGCAACGAUGCAUAGCCGACCUGAGAGGGUGAUCGGCCACACUGGAACUGAGACACGGUCCAGACUCCUACGGGAGGCAGCAGUAGGGAAUCUUCCGCAAAGGGCGAAAGCCUGACGGAGCAACGCCGCGUGAGUGAUGAAGGUCUUCGGAUCGUAAAACUCUGUUAUUAGGGAAGAACAUAUGUGUAAGUAACUGUGCACAUCUUGACGGUACCUAAUCAGAAAGCCACGGCUAACUACGUG